AACGAACGCUGGCGGCAUGCCUAACACAUGCAAGUCGAACGAGACCUUCGGGUCUAGUGGCGCACGGGUGCGUAACGCGUGGGAAUCUGCCCUUGGGUUCGGAAUUACUCAGAGAAAUUUGAGCUAAUACCGGAUGAUGACGUAAGUCCAAAGAUUUAUCGCCCAAGGAUGAGCCCGCGUAGGAUUAGCUAGUUGGUGAGGUAAAGGCUCACCAAGGCGACGAUCCUUAGCUGGUCUGAGAGGAUGAUCAGCCACACUGGGACUGAGACACGGCCCAGACUCCUACGGGAGGCAGCAGUGGGGAAUAUUGGACAAUGGGCGAAAGCCUGAUCCAGCAAUGCCGCGUGAGUGAUGAAGGCCUUAGGGUUGUAAAGCUCUUUUACCCGGGAUGAUAAUGACAGUACCGGGAGAAUAAGCUCCGGCUAACUCCGUGCCAGCCGCCGCGGUAAUAC
rnacentral:rRNA from 1 species